rnacentral:lncRNA from 1 species
AUGUUGAUUUUAAGGGAAUUUAAUUUCUCUCUCAUUCUGUCUUUCUCUCUCAGUUGCAGGCCAGCAAGGAGAACGUUAAUAUCCCAGGCUUAAAAGUCGGCUUGCUCAAGUCCAAAUUACAGGAAAAGACAGAACAAUCUCAACAGCUGCAAGAUCAAAUUCUCAAGCAGCGGGAGGCUUUAAGUAGGGCAAGCCAAACUCUCAAAGACACCAGGAAAGCAGCUGGCAAGAAGGGGCUGUCAGUGUGCAGAAGGGGAUGCAGAACUUCAGAGUGUUUCUCGUUCCAGGGAAAACUACUGCACUCCCGGCUCUGCAGAAACACACACAAGGCCAAAGAGCAGAUGAGAGUGACACACACACACACACACACACAAACACACACUCUUCAAGUGCGACACCCCAAACAUCCAUAUAAAGGCCAGCGGAGUCUGUUCCUACACUUCUCACUCACAGCCUUAAAGGUCAGCUAUGUCCAAGUCCUAGCAUUUACGGAUCACAAACACACACACAUAGGCCUAAACCUACCAACACACACAUGCAAGCACGUUCGCCGUGGGGUUGUGACCAUAGCUUGUUUGUUUAUUUAUUCAUGCACUUGAAGUCUCUGUCAGCAGACCGCUUCUCCUCUGCAGGAGGUGAACUGGAGGAUUUGCAAUGUUCUCCGAUCUGAUUAGCAGGGAAUGUCAUGUGACAGCACACGGAUUAUCUUGUUCUGGUAUGAGAGGACUAAAUGUGGAAAGGUACUUUAGAGCCUUAAUUCCAACGUGUAAUAUUUCAUAAUGUCGUACACGCGGGUCUCAGACUGGAUAACUGUUGUCAGGUAGGCGCUUCACAAAGCCUGAGACUUCAUUAAUCCAGGUCUCUGCGAGUUCCUUUGAAAUCAUUUAAAUUCCCUUCAACUCUUUCUGUCUUUUUCGGUGGUUGGAAACUUCCAGUGAUAAAUAAUUAAUGCUCGACUCUUUCGUUUUCUGCCCUCGCUUUCUUUCUUUGAGGUGUGAGGUAAGCUAAAUACACCGGUGGGUUCACAAAGGUAAAGCUUGAGGUAGCUUAAGCGUGACUGCGAGAGAUCGGGAUCAUUUUUAUGUGCCGUUUGAUCUGUGAUGGACCCUGCAUACGCUCGCUAAUUACGAUGGGCUGAGACAGUGUCAUAUCGACCACCCAGAGCUCUCAUCACCUCUGUGAGAGAGAGAAAGAGAGAGAAAGAGAAAUAGAGAGAGAGUUCUAAUCAGCUGCCUCACACCUUCACUUCACACAUCUCACACAGCAACACUCUCUCGUUUUGGGAAAAAUCAGCCAUUUAUUUACCUCAUUGGCUUUGUUUGCUUGGAAGAAAAGCAUUCUGUGGCUUCGUAUUUAAACACUAUAAUGCUUGUCUCACACCACACAUGGACUAAAUGACACACUUUUAUUGCUGUAUUAACAGGUAGCAUAAUUCACAAUGGUACAAAGCAUGCACUGUAGUUUCUUGUAACAUAU